CAUGCUGCUCUUUUGCCAGGGCUGUGGGAAUGGGCUCAUUGUGGAGGAGGGACAGCCCUGCCACUGUUUUGCCUGCAACACCUGCCCGUAUGUGCACAACAUCACUGGUAAGGUAACAAAUUGGAAGUAUCCAAAGCAGAAAGAAGUGGAUGACUUGCUUGGUGGAGCAGCUGCCUGGGAGAACGUGGACUCUACUGCAGAGCCAUGUCCCAGAUGUGAACAUCCCUGUGCCUGUUUCAUGCAGCUUCAGACCCGCGCUGCAGACGAGCCCAUCACCACCUUCUACAAGUGCUGCAAUGCGCAGUGUGGACACCGCUGGAGGGACUAGG